AACGCAACUUGCGCCUUUUACGAGGCAUGUUUGUUUGAGUGCCGCAAUCCUCUGCAGCAAUGCGAUUUGACUCGUGUCUUUGUUGACCGAGUUUAAACAGAGCUAGAGGAUGGUCAGUUUGGCCUAGUCCGAGUGCUAAGCAUUCUUGGGCCUAGGUUGGAUUGGUCAUUAAAUCUAUCUUUUAUUUUUGGCCUCAAAUCAAGCAAGACUACCCGCUGAACUUAA
rnacentral:misc_RNA from 1 species